UACAGUUACAUUCCAAAUAAUACGACUGGAGUACGAAAGAUGCGAAACGAAAGAGAUUGACAUGAAUGGACUAUGGAAUAAACAACUGAAUUCACUCGGUCCAAAAAUGUUGACACUUAAGUGAGACCCACCUAAACACGUUGGGAGCAUUCAGAAGCGUGCCCCGCUCAAGUGCCAAAAUUCUUGGACCGAGUGAAUCUAGUUCAAAGGUGGAAUAGUCAAUCGAACUGUGUCACUGUGGUGGUGAAAAACGAAUACAAGAUGAACACAACGCACUUGUCAAAAACCCACACGCGAUCGUCAUUCCAUUUGCGCUCCGGGUUGUUUUGUUUUGUUUACUCGCGGAAUCACUUGUGAAAAACCAUAAGAAAGUAAAGUUGGCUGAGGAAAUCCGGACAAAAGUUUUAUUACCAUAAUCUCCAUCACUAAUUGUUAAGGAGUUCUGUUUGAUCUUUCGACCUUGACGCUUGGUUUUGCCGGAGCGAGCGACGAGGGCAGGAUCAAACAUGUCGCGCGUCGAUCUCCUUGCAGCGAAUCAAACAAUGUCGUCUAACGAGUGUCCCAGCCCAAUUUGGUAUCAUUUUCGGAAAACUGAUGGAAAUAAGGCUGUAUGCCGGUAUUGCCAUAAACCAAUUGCAACAUCUUCAGGAUCCACCAGCAAUUUGCGGCGUCAUCUUAAGAGCAAACAUCCGUUCAUCAGCAUAGAACGUGAGCAGCAAGAGACAGUAGGAUCUUCCGCCGAACAAAAAUCAGAAGAACUGGAUUCAAGUGACUCAAUCUCACUUUGGUCGCCCUAAGGGAAGCAUAUCAACCUCAAUACCGUCUGCUGCAAUCGAUCAUGAUCGUAUAAAUAUGGCUGCGAUCGGUAGACUCCAACUAGGCUAAGUAUUUCUGUUUACAGUUGCAAGUAGCUACUGAAGGAGGAGUGUUCAACAGCAGUGAAUCGCAUCGAGAAUGCAGCUUAUCGGCGAAGCAAUGCUCUUGAUAGUGCUCGUGCGAUUGACCAGUGACGUUGCCGCUGCAUCCAUUGACUCGGGAUCGUCGACGUCAGCACCAGCAGAAUUGAGCUCACAGCGUUUUCUGAUAAAUAAUCAGUGGUUCAGUACGCAGAAACCCACCGUCGGCUCGUCUUCGAAGGGAUCCACAGGUCAAGGAUGGUUCCGCAACACAUUGUCGGUCUAUUCACGGAUACAGCCCAGAGUGGGUCGAGAUACCGAGGGUGUGGAUCCGGUUAAAGGUCGGCCUUCUGAUGGCGAGCAGUAUGCCGAGGAGAUUGUUCUGAACUCAUGAAAGUAUAAAUAUGAAAAAUGGAAAAUGAUACAGCUGAA